rnacentral:rRNA from 2 species
GGGGGGGGGGGGGCCUAUACAUGCAAGUCGAGCGAACUGAUUAGAAGCUUGCUUCUAUGACGUUAGCGGCGGACGGGUGAGUAACACGUGGGCAACCUGCCUGUAAGACUGGGAUAACUUCGGGAAACCGAAGCUAAUACCGGAUAGGAUCUUCUCCUUCAUGGGAGAUGAUUGAAAGAUGGUUUCGGCUAUCACUUACAGAUGGGCCCGCGGUGCAUUAGCUAGUUGGUGAGGUAACGGCUCACCAAGGCAACGAUGCAUAGCCGACCUGAGAGGGUGAUCGGCCACACUGGGACUGAGACACGGCCCAGACUCCUACGGGAGGCAGCAGUAGGGAAUCUUCCGCAAUGGACGAAAGUCUGACGGAGCAACGCCGCGUGAGUGAUGAAGGCUUUCGGGUCGUAAAACUCUGUUGUUAGGGAAGAACAAGUACGAGAGUAACUGCUCGUACCUUGACGGUACCUAACCAGAAAGCCACGGCUAACUACGUGCCAGCAGCCGCGGUAAUACGUAGGUGGCAAGCGUUAUCCGGAAUUAUUGGGCGUAAAGCGCGCGCAGGCGGUUUCUUAAGUCUGAUGUGAAAGCCCACGGCUCAACCGUGGAGGGUCAUUGGAAACUGGGGAACUUGAGUGCAGAAGAGAAAAGCGGAAUUCCACGUGUAGCGGUGAAAUGCGUAGAGAUGUGGAGGAACACCAGUGGCGAAGGCGGCUUUUUGGUCUGUAACUGACGCUGAGGCGCGAAAGCGUGGGGAGCAAACAGGAUUAGAUACCG